rnacentral:lncRNA from 1 species
GGUGUGAUUCCUAGAAGCAAUCCUUGCAUUCCAAAACUACGUAGCCAGCGUAGGUUGAGAUGUCCCUACCUAUAGGGCUAAUGCAUCUCCUUUGAGUUUACCUGAUAGUAGGGUAGACAGAAUGAGCUUCAAAGUAGAAUAGGGUUUACUCACAUGUUGUCUCUACCCGUGGCACGGUAUUGACACCCUUCCAGAUGGGGUUAUAGGUUGUACCCCAACCAGUUCAGUUCCGGGGCAUGUCGGUUAGAUGAUUACC